rnacentral:lncRNA from 1 species
AAUUGUUAUGUUUUAGGAUGCUGAGCGGAACUAGGUACCCGAUGAUGGUCAUCUCAAGCACAUGGUUGUGAGUUUCUUCAAAAAACUUUACUCCAGAGACACGUUAGAGGCUCCGAUCUAUCAUAUAAGGGGUAGAUUCUCGCCUUGUAUGACGACCAUGCUGAAUAUGCUUAAUGCCCUUGUUACAAAAGAUGAGGUUCGUCUAGCCCUGUUUGCCAUGAAAUCGCUCAAGGCCCCUG